AUCGAUUCUGAAAAACCACUACCCUGUUUGGAAUUAUGCUUACCUAUCACAAGGAAUAGGACUAGAUAGAAAGUUUGGCUGGGGCGGCACACCUUCGAAAGAGCAGCGAAGGUGUCCUAAGUUGAGCUCAGUGAGGACAGAAAUCUCACGUUGAGGAUAAGGCCAAAAGCUCAAUUUACUGUGCCUUUUUGUACUAGGAUCAGUUACGAAAGUAAGGCCUAACGAUCCCUAAAUAGCCUCAGGUGCGUGAGGAUUGGGGUGACAGACAAGUUACCUCCGGGACAACUGGCUUGUGGCUGCUAAGAGAUCAAAUCAACGCAGCUUUUUGAUUCUUCGAUGUCGGCUCUUCCUAUCCUAGUGAUGUACAAGUUGCUAAGGGUCGGAUUGUUCACCCGUAUUAGGGAUCGUGAGCUGGGUUUAGACCGUCGUGAGCCAGGUUUGUUUUAUCCUACUGGAUAUAGCAUCAUGAUAGUAGAUUGAUUUAGUACGAGAGGAACUGUUGAUUAUGGCCUCUGGUUAGCGAUUAUCGGAAACGGUAUGUCGCGCAGCUACGCCGUCUGGGAUAAUGGCUGAAAGCCUCUUAAGCCAGAAGCCCAUCUAGAAAGUGAUGCACGUGAUGUUGGACCGAUACGAAUAAUCAUACUCAAAAGGUCCGCUUCAUAGGUAACCCAAUGUAGAAGACAUUGUGUGAACGAAGGUACUGUAAGCAGUGGAGUGGCAUUACGUCCACGACCUGUUGAGGUUCAGCUUCGCUUCUAGGUUUCC
rnacentral:ncRNA from 1 species